rnacentral:rRNA from 1 species
GAUGAACGCUGGCGGCAUGCCUAAUACAUGCAAGUCGAACGAGAGGAAGGAAAGCUUGCUUUUCUGAAUCUAGUGGCGAACGGGUGAGUAACACGCAGGUAACCUGUCCAUGCGCACGGGACAACUUCUGGAAACGGAUGCUAAAACCGGAUAUGUAGCAGACAAGCAUUUGACUGCUAUUAAAGUGUCUAAGGCCAAGCACAUGGAAGGACCUGCGGUGCAUUAGAGAGUUGGUAGGGUAACGGCCCACCAAGGCGACGAUGCAUAGCCGGCCUGGGAGGGCGGACGGCCACAUUGGGACUGAGACACGGCCCAAACUCCUACGGGAGGCAGCAGUAGGGAAUUUUCGUCAAUGGGGGGAACCCUGAACGAGCAAUGCCGCGUGAGGGAGGAAGGUCGUCGGAUCGUAAAGCUCUGUUGUAAGAGAAAAACGACAUUCAUAGGGACUGAUGAGUGAGUGAUGGUAUCUUACCAGAAAGUCACGGCUAACUACGUGCCAGCAGCCGCAGUAAUAC